GAGCUACAGCUAUCUUCAUAAUCUUCUCGUUGAUCUGGGCUAUGUUUAUCUAUGUGACUCCAUUGCAGGUGGUUGCUGUGUUGGUUGGGCUUUACAUGCUACGCCAUCCACGGUUCAGGAACAAAAUGCCUUCCGUACCUGUCAAUUUCUUCAAGAGAUUACCAGCAAAAUCAGAUAUGCUACUGUAAAAAGUCAAGGCACUAUAAUCAGUUACCAUUCAUUUACUCCAUUAUUGUGCAGAAGCCAGUAAAUAAAGUCAUAUCUGCUAUAAUUAUAAUUGCAGAAUACAGGAAAAGCAGCUAUUUGCGUUUGAUUACCUGCUGUCCCACCAGCUAUAAAAGAAUCCGACUUUUUCCAGAGUUCCAUAUUUUAACUUGUUUCUGUAAAAUUCACCUUGGGUAACGACCAUUCUUUUUGGCACUGUCUUUCCAGAUUUCUAUUUAGGAAUAAGCACUCAUAGCUUGUACUUCUUGAAGCAAUAUCCAAAAAGUCAGCUGAGUAAACAAACUGCUGGCAGCUUAUCAGUACAUUCAACAGCCAACUAACUCAAAGUUCUAAGGGGAUAGAUGGAAGUGUUAUUAAUUAUAUGAUAAAAAAUUUAACAGAGUUCUGACAGAUGAUAUAAUUGACUCAAAAUUUGGCAACAAAGAAGCUCGCUUCUAGGAUUGAUUACUCUAAAAAUAAAGAGAAAAUCCAUACAUGGUACUAAUCUUUGAUGAAAUUUCUCUCCAAAAAAGCAGAUGUUCUGUUUUGGCUUAGGUGGCUAUCAAAACGUGUGAAGAAAAAAUUUCUUUCCUUGGUCUGAUUUAAUAGUUUAUGGAAACUUUGUGUAUAUUGCAGUUUACUUUUGAUCUUUGACAUGUGACAUGAAAGUUUGUUAGACUGAUGUCUUUAGUGAUUUGCCUCUGACAAAUAUAUCAACAUUAUGUGAAGAUAAUGCUAAGUGCAGUUUACGUACUCAUUUCAGUUGAUAAAAUUCUAGAAGGUAAUUUUUGUUGCAUUUUAUUGUCAUCUACUCUGGCUUGAUUUAAUAAGCAACAUCAUGGUGUUUUCCUAGUUUCCUGCCAACAGAGAUACUAGGGAUAGUUGGUCUCUUGGAUGAUCUCCUCAUAAUCUUGAUCUUCUUUCUCCAUAUUACUGCUUUAUAUCAGUCAGUAUUCUAUUUCCGGCAUGAAGGUAGUUCUUGAACUCAGCUGAAUCAAUUGUAUAACUUUUUUAAUUCAAAAAAGUAAUUCACAGAAAUUUAAUAAAAAAUAUUACAGGGAUGUGAUUUUGUAGAGAAAUCUAUCACAUAGUAUACACUAGUCUCCAUUAUAUUGUUAUUGUUCUCCCCAUUUUAUUAUUGUUUUGUACGAUACAGUCCCAUUUCACUAGGGAUAUGAUAAUAGAACUAUAGAAAUUAGAAUUUGAUUAUCUUGAUUGAUUUUGUAUAUGAAUAUAAUAUAUUAUAAUAAAAAAAUGCGAUAAAUUUUGUAAAUGAUAUACUAUGAAGACUCGUUUGGAAGUAGUAAAGUAAUUGGACAACGACAAUAUCAACAUUUAUAUGAUAGAAAAGUGAAAUCCAUAUNNNNNNNNNNNNNNNNNNNNNNNNNNNNNNNNNNNNNNNNNNNNNNNNNNNNNNNNNNNNNNNNNNCAUGGUUCUAUAUUAGCGUCGACCUCUUUUAUGAUCUAUUGUGAAUGAUUAUGCAUGCCCAUGUCCAUCAGUAGAUGUCGGUGUAAUAUAUAGUAAAUAUAUCACCUUGAAAAUUAGGGGCAUCUUUGCUCCUGAAUCAUGCUCUUUCUGUAAGAUAAUUUAGAUUAUUCUUUAGAAAGUUACAUUAUGUUAGUUUGGCAAUAUAGAUCCACUUUUCAGCUACGUAAAUGUUCAUUGUGUCAUCGUCCAAUUACUUUAUUGCUUCCAAACGAGUCUUCAUAGUAUAUCAUAUACAAAAUUUAUCGCAUUUUUUUACUAUAAUAUAGCAUAUUCAUAUACAAAAUAAAGCAAAAUACAAAAUCUCUAAUUUCUAUACUUGUAUUAUCAUAUUCCUAUUCAACUAGCCAAAUGCAACUAUAUCAUACCAAACAACAACAAAAUGAGAAGAGCAAUAACAACAUAAUGCAGAGUACUAUAUACUACGCGAUAGAUUUAUCUAUAAAAUCACAUUUCUGUAAUAUUUUUUAUUAAGCUUUCUGUGGGUUACUUUUUUGACUUAAGAGAGUUAUACAAUUGCUCCAGUUGAGUUCAAGAACUGCUUCCAUGUCGGAAAUAGAGUACUGACCCAUAUAAAAACAGCAAUAUGGAGAAAGAAGACCAAGAUUAUGAGGAGAUCUUCCAAGAGACCAACUAUCCCCAGUAUUCUUGUUGGUAGAGGAAAACAAGAUGGCAUUGCUUAUUAAAUCAAGCCAAAAUAGAUGAUAAUAAAAUGUAACAAAAAUUACUUUAUGAAAUUAUAUCAAUUGGACUGAGUACGUAAACUGCACUUAGUAUCGUCUUCACAUAAUGUUGAUAUAUUUGUCAGAGCCAAACCACCGAAAACAUCAGUCUAACAAACUUUCAUAUCAUAUGUUAAAGAUCAAAAGACAAAGUUUCCAUAGAUUAUUAAAUCAAACCAAGGGAAGAAAUUUUUUCUUCACACAUUUUGAUAGCCACCUAAGCCAAAACAAAAUAUCUGCCUUAAUAAUUUUGAUAGCUUAAAGCUCAAAUGAACAAUUUUUUUAAAAAGUAAAAAUAUUAUAUAUCAUUAGAUACAAGCACUAAAAGAGUGUCAACCAAUGUACAAAAUUUUUUAAAAGAAAGCGUAAAUGAUUUUCUUUUUGGAAAAAAAAAAUGAAGAAAAAAGCAUAAUAAGUACAUUAAGAUCAAGAGUUAAAUAAAUUUUCAUAUAACAUGCAGAAUCUUAUGGGCAAACCAAAUAACUAAACAUGAUCUCAGUUAGAGGGGAAGAACAGAAAAUCAGCUCCGGUCAACAAUUAACAAUAUCCCCAUAGCAGGUGGUGCGUAUUAGAUAAUUGAGGUAGUUCAAGAAACACCCAAGUCGGCUACAUUGCAAAAGGGACAAUCGUCAUAGUUGAAUGGUUUCUUCAAUGUCAAUACAUGUUUUAGUUAGUCUUUCUUUAACAAAUUUCUAAUGUAACCUUACAUUUUUUCCACCGGUUACCGCUUUGCUUCUCAAGCCAUCAAAUGGGUCAUCCGAAAAUUGAAAAGAAAUAAAUACAAGGGGGUUUUGAGGGCAGUGGUUACCGUUUAUCGCAGGAAUAAGGCCUUAUGCAUGAGAGAGAGAGAGAGAGAGAGAGAGAGAGAGACUUAAUAAUCUCCAAACCUGUUAUUAAGCCCAUUGGCUCACCCAACGGCUGGGCUAUUCGUAUAUUUUAAGUUCAUAGACCGUGCUUUGGCAAAAAAGAGAUCCGAAAUAUAUAAGGUAAAACCUAGUAUUUUACGUUUUAAACACAAAUCAGCCAGAUCAAGCACACAUCUCUUAUUUAAUCUAAAACAUUUCGAUCUGAACCUAGUGUCAUGCGCAUGUUGUAAUUGAAAAGCAUAUUAGUUGGGCUGCUAUUACCAUGAAAAACUAAUUAAAAUGUUCUCCGGAACAAUAUUAAUUGUAUUUGAAUGAAAAAAUAUGACAAGACUUUUUUUAAAGGUGCUGGACAUGGAAUUACGAUGGAUUAGUAAUAGACCUGAAUAAUUGGGUCAGAAUCGAGUCAGGCAAACAAACCAAAUGCAACCUAGCUCAUGAAUACAUCUAGCCGCCUCUCUUAAGGAGGACCAAAGAGACUUUUAUUUUGCGUAAGUAACGUAACUACAUACUUCUCGUAAGCAAAUAGUAGGACCUUGGUGCCGUACUAAUAAUAUAUUCCCUUUUCUAGUGACAAAAAUGGUAAAAAUUAUAGGACUUAAGCUAUCAAAUUGGACCAAGAAAACACUCAAAACUGAGUGGGAGAAGAGGCAACAUCAAAAUUUUGUGAUCUAAAGUUCUACUCAUUCAAUUCUCUUUUUCUUUUUCUUCUUUUUUUUUUCAUAUUAUAGCUUGAAAGCAGAUAAAAAGUAGUAUAAUACAAUAUUUAUACUCUACCUUGUGGCAGAAGUCUGCUAGUUCACAAGCAUGGACCGAUCACAAACUAGUCUACCUUGUGGUAGAAUUAACUAACAUAAAUGGAUUCAAUUCUGACUCUGAUAUCAUGUUAAAUAAUAAGUUGAACUAGUAUUUUCAUAAACUUAAGCUGAUUAAAAAAAUUCUAUUGUUUGUAUUCUUAACAAUAACAAAAAGCUAAAAGAUGUUAGGUGGUAAGAUCUGUUGUAAUUUCAUGAGGAAGAGCACAGUAUUAUAAUCAACUCCAGCACAUAAAAAUUGGUAAGUUGGUGAUGCCAUGUGUAAUUUGAUGAUCCUUCCCAGAAAGAGACCAUUCCAAAAUUUUUCUUUAAACCCAAAACAUGUUUCAAGAUUAUCUAACGUCUAACAUGCACCUAAAUUAUGAUUUGAACACCAAUUUAAACAUGAACAGCACGCUUGAUUAAAACAGAAUGCAAAUGUUCAAACUCAACCCUAUUCAUUGAACACCAUUUCACCAUUUUUUAUUUCCAAACCAUAUAACAAUAAUUGUCUAAAAUUAAGCACCACUGCACGUUAGAAUUAGGUACUCUACUUACCUUAAUUUAGGCCAAAUUUUUAGGUAUUCAAAUUUCCUUAAAACAGAUUAAAGUCCUCACCAAUAGCUCCUUGCUUUUCACCCAGGAUCAGCAUGAGUGCUGAGUGUUUCCACCCUUGGUUCUCCCUAAUGGGUGAAUCGAUUUCACUUCUGUUUUCACCAAAAUGUACAUAACAUGUAAGGCUCCUUUUCUGAAAAUUUUCAGAAUUUUGGGAGUUAGUUUUAAGUGUCCAAAAAAUUCAAGAACUGAAGCAUAAGAAAUCUGGGUGCUUCCUAGAGGGGUUUCCUGGACCUUUCUGUGGUUCGGAAGCUAUUUCUCCUUCUACGAUUAUCUGUUUUAUUUGAUUCUUAUCUCUACAUUUUCUUUAAACGAGCCCUAUUACUAAGAAAAAUUUCAUAUUUUUCUGAGUAUCCUAAGAUAUUAAAAAAAGUCAGGAAAUAUUGAACAGAAUUUUAACGCCAUGCUUACCUGAGCUUCUGGUGUUAUUCCUUCAAUUUAUCCCUCUUGGAGAAAGUUUUCACUCCUCUGUUUCACUGAAAUUUACCUAAGUCAUAAGCCUAAACACCCCUCAAAUUUCAGAAUUUUUGGAGUUUUCUAGCCUAGGAAAAAAAUUUAAAAACAGAAGAGGAGGGAGGAAGCCACUUACAAUUUUUUCUUUCUUCCUCUCAGAUUACUUGCUCUCCUCUUAUUUCUCUUGGUUUCUCCUUGAGUUGGACGACCAAAAUGGGAGAUUUUGCUGUUCAAGUGGCCCUUUUAUAAUGAAGAAAGGAUGAGGGAUUAUGUGGGUAAGUUAGGGGUGAAAUGGAGAAAAUACCUUCUCUUCCAAUCCACCUGGUAAUAGUAAAGACAACAGAGAUUUUUACUCGGUUAUAUUAUGGAAAAGUAUCAUGGAAUUUAGAAAUAAUUGUAUCAGAGGUCUUAUAAUGCCAUACCUGGUCUAGGAUAGAAUUGUGAAAUAUGAAACUUGGGAGAACUUGUACUCCUUAACAAGACUCACUAUUUGAGCAAAAUCUUCAUCCGUUUCCCCUGAAUUGGUUGUUGAGAAAUGAUGAUUACAUGAAAUAUAAUCAAAUAUUGAAUAAUUUGCAG
rnacentral:lncRNA from 1 species